rnacentral:rRNA from 1 species
GACAGAGGAUGCAAGCGUUAUCCGGAAUGAUUGGGCGUAAAGCGUCUGUAGGUGGCUUUUCAAGUCCGCCGUCAAAUCCCAGGGCUCAACCCUGGACAGGCGGUGGAAACUACCAAGCUGGAGUACGGUAGGGGCAGAGGGAAUUUCCGGUGGAGCGGUGAAAUGCGUAGAUAUGCGGAGGAACACCGAUGGCGAAGGCAAUCCCCUGGGCCUGCACUGACGCUCAUGCACGAAAGCGUGGGGAGCAAACAGG